ensembl:lincRNA C630028M04Rik RIKEN cDNA C630028M04 gene
AGAUCCAGCGUGUUCUGUGCCUGAUGGAAGGAACAGUGGUUUAAGAAGCAGAGUACUCACGCUAAAAUAACAGCUCUAUUGCUAAUUAAAGAAUUCUGUCAAGGAUGCUGGACCGAAGUUUAACAGUGCUGUUGGAAGGAUCAGUGGACCUUGGCUGUGAACCUCAGUGGUCAGCUUUUAUUCAACUGUACUUUUCUUCUGUUGAUUGUGUUCCAUAUUUCUACAUUGUUUGGAGUGCAUUGUAGCUGUCUUCAGACACACCAGAAGAAGGCAUUGGAUCCCAUUACAUAUGGUUGGCAGCCACCAUGUGCUUGCUGGGGAUUGAACUCAGGACUCUGGAAGAGGAAUUGGUGCUCUUAACUGCUAUUUAUCUCUCCAGCCUUGUUUCUACUUUUUAAAUUGUUUAUUAACUGAGGAGUGAAGCUAAUUCUUUAAAAAGGCUUUAUCACUACUGCCACAUAUAAGCCUUUAUUGUUGAAAUUCCUAAUUUAGAUUAAUAUUAUUAAAGUUCAUGUAUUACUGAAUAUCAUCAUGAACAUUCACAGACACAUAUUUUUUCAUUGUUACAAUCCAACAGUAUAUUCCUCAAUUUGUAUAUCUUAUUGCUUGGCAUUGUAACAGAUUCAUUGAUAGAAAUAUCUUCUCUUUGUUAAUAAAAUGGAAAGGAUUCAUAAGAUUAAUUACCUUGUUUCUAGAUGCUGCCAUGGAUACAUACAUACAUAUAUACAUACAUACAUAUAUAUAUAUAUACAUAUGUGUAUAUAUAUGUGUGUGNNNNNNNNNNNNNNNNNNNNNNNNNNNNNNNNNNNNNNNNNNNNNNNNNNNNNNNNNNNNNNNNNNNNNNNNNNNNNNNAAUUAAUAAAUAUCAAUUAAAUGUAGCUAUUUUGAACUAAUUAUGGCAUACUUACUGAUUUUCAUUUUUCUUUCUAAAGAAUGCUGUUUUGCUUCAUUUUCUGUGACUAACAAUAGCACAAUAUAGACUGUUAUAAAGAAGAGAGAUUCAUGUUGGCUUACACUUCAGGAGUUUUAAAAGCUUAUGGGCCAUAUCUAAAUGACAUUUUGGUUCUUACAGAAUUGCAGACACCAUAUAAUAUGAUACAGAUAAUGUGAAUUAGUUUAAUCUCUUUCUCUCUCAUUUUAUAAAGCUACUAGAAACAAACAUGAGUAUUAGCAUUCAGUGAUUCAACCUCCAUUCUGAUGACGAAAUCUCUUUCUAAACAUUUCCUAACAUUUCCACCUCUAUCAAAACUAUGUGAUGAAGUCUCAACACUGAUAGUGAAAUACCUUCCACUGGAAAUUAUAUCCCAUAUGAGUUUUGCAGGGACACGCCAUUUCCGAUUACACCAAACUACAUCGGCUAAGUGUUUUAGAACCUCAGAAUUAAUUCUGACUCUACCAAAUAGCAACUGUGAUCCGCGACAGUGAGUGCGAUCAUUUGACCGGUUGCUUUGGCUUUCUUUCUGUAAACGGAAAUGAUAUUCAUAGCCAUCUGUCGCAAAGUUGCUAUGAGGAUUAACUAAGCUAACAGACUAAUAUGUUGAGUGUCAGCACCGAGACAAACAGGGCUUAAAAUGUAAGUCCAGUGUAAGCAUAAACUAUCUCCACUUCCCCUCUUGAAAACAGUUCUGCUUUUUGAAAUACUGCUUAUUCUCGGCACAGAUUUUAUUUUUCUCGAUCUGUUCAUGCCUUGAAUUGUUUUUGUAAGACUGUAAUUUUUCCUCUGAUUUGAAUUUUACUGAAUCCCGAUUGCUGUUCAAGACUUCCUUUAAAGUUCUUAGUCUGGUAAAUCUGAAUUUCAUUUGCAUUCAUCUUCACAUCCCAGAUUUCCCCCUUCUUGAGCACUCGCUUUCAUUUCAAUGCAUCUGCAUUCUCUAAGGUCUAACUUAUCACAUGAAUCUUAUAUUUUCUUCUGUUCAAAAUUGUUUGCAAUGAUUGUUCUAACAUUGAGCGAUUGACACGGUGUCUACCUAGAGCCUGCACUGCUAUGGACUUGUGUUCAUAAUACUGGAAGGUAUUUUGAAUGUUACCCAUGGAGAAAGGUCAAUGCCAACCCAGUUACAAACUUUUCAGUCUACAAUGAUGAUCUGCCUGCAAGAUGUGCUAGUGCAACAGUAGCAAAAAGCUUGUGGAAGUAACCACGAAAUUACAUAACUUGAUUUAGGCCCACUCCAUGAAACUGAGACUGUUUGCAUCACAGAUUGGAUGGGCAAGAAGCUAAGACCAGAUAGGCCAACGACCUACACCAAUGACCAAAUAUUACUGUUCAGCUAAAGGAAAAUAGCCAUAACAUGAUUGUUACAGGCCUUCUGGUAUCGCCAUAGGUUUUAUGAUGUUACAAUAGAAAACAAAGAUUGGUACACAAAUAUCAGAAAUAGCAAUGACUCUCAAUUAAGGUAUAUACAAAGUGAUGUUAAAUUAAGGAUGAGCUAUGUUAUAAAAGAUAAAAUGAAAAAAUAUAUGGAGAGAUCUCUGGAAAAAUCUUUGUGGAUGACCACUACAACACUCCAGCGAGCUUUGAAAGAACUGGUGGUGACUACUAACAGCCAAUAGUGGAAAUAACCAGCCACAUUUUACAAUGCAAGAUGAGCCAUUGGACUUCGUUGACUUCAAUUUUACAAAUUUUGGUUUAAAAACAAAAUUAUUUCGAAAUAAUUUACCAUUACCUGGCUUACCUAUUAAAAUCUAUUUUUCAUGAUUUUGACAAUUUCUUUCGAUCCUUCUCUUAGUGAGCUUAAUGUUUUGUGGUUGAAUUUUCAAAGCACGAUUAUGUUUUUUAAACUUUGUUCUCAAUGGCCGGUAUCAAGCCGAAGAUGUUUGAAUUUAAGACUGAAGCAAGAUUGGAUGCUGAGAAGGUUGGUGGUUUUCAGAGCACAGAUAGAGAAUGUUAGUUCUGCCUGGAUCAUGUUCUGUUUUCUCAUUUUUGAUUUGAAGAAGCCAUACAUGGAUGUGCAUGUUUCAGUAUUUAACUUGCCAUUGGAUCUGUGUUUUGCCUUCUGCCCCUAUAUGUUUUAUUGCAAAGAGAGGGGAGAACAGGGGAUGGCAAAAAUAACCAUAGCUCUUCAAAGUCUUGACUUCUGGUUCACUUGGAGAUGCCCGAGUGAGGCUCUUAAGGAGGAAAAGAUAAAACCUUUCUGUGCUUCAGGAAAGGUGAUCCCUGUAUAAACCAUGGAAUAUUUCAUAGCUCAGUUGCAGAACUCAAGUUGUUGUUUCACACUCUAAGUGUCUUUCUCAGCACAUUUUAAUGUGCAUAUUUACCUGGAUAUAGCUGUGAUGUAAAGAAUAUAAUGAAUAAAUUAUUUAUUGGC